AUCUAAGGCUGUAUCACCCUGACUGAACACAUUCAAUCUCAUCUGGUCUUGGAAGCUAAGCAGGGUUGGGCCUGGUUAGUACUUGGAUGGGAGAUAGAUCUUCAGAAGAGACUGCUCAGAAACAAGCAGUUUGGAGA
rnacentral:rRNA from 1 species